AUAGCCCCGAAAAUGAUGGUUUAACUCCUUCCCUUACUA
rnacentral:tRNA from 4 species